rnacentral:rRNA from 1 species
AAGCCCAGCUUGCUGGGUGGAUCAGUGGCGAACGGGUGAGUAACACGUGAGCAACCUGCCCCUGACUCUGGGAUAAGCGCUGGAAACGGCGUCUAAUACUGGAUACGAGUAGCGACCGCAUGGUCAGUUACUGGAAAGAUUUAUUGGUUGGGGAUGGGCUCGCGGCCUAUCAGCUUGUUGGUGAGGUAAUGGCUCACCAAGGCGUCGACGGGUAGCCGGCCUGAGAGGGUGACCGGCCACACUGGGACUGAGACACGGCCCAGACUCCUACGGGAGGCAGCAGUGGGGAAUAUUGCACAAUGGGCGCAAGCCUGAUGCAGCAACGCCGCGUGAGGGAUGACGGCCUUCGGGUUGUAAACCUCUUUUAGCAGGGAAGAAGCGAAAGUGACGGUACCUGCAGAAAAAGCGCCGGCUAACUACGUGCCAGCAGCCGCGGUAAUACGUAGGGCGCAAGCGUUAUCCGGAAUUAUUGGGCGUAAAGAGCUCGUAGGCGGUUUGUCGCGUCUGCUGUGAAAUCCGGAGGCUCAACCUCCGGCCUGCAGUGGGUACGGGCAGACUAGAGUGCGGUAGGGGAGAUUGGAAUUCCUGGUGUAGCGGUGGAAUGCGCAGAUAUCAGGAGGAACACCGAUGGCGAAGGCAGAUCUCUGGGCCGUAACUGACGCUGAGGAGCGAAAGGGUGGGGAGCAAACAGGCUUAGAUACCCUGGUAGUCCACCCCGUAAACGUUGGGAACUAGUUGUGGGGUCCAUU